AGGGGGAGGCAGCCUUAUAAGCAUAGCACCAAUUCUUUUCCUUAGUAGUCAAAUGUGAGAUAUCAGUUUUCACUAGUUAGACUCUAUUCCGUAUUGCAUUGGCUCAUACCCAUGCCCUUCACUCUUAUACUGAAUGCACUGGAUCAUACCAAUGCGUUUGUUUGUGAAUGAGAAGCAGGAGAUCAGGAGCAACAGACUUAACUAAGGGAUAGAGCAUUGAAGAAUGC
rnacentral:lncRNA from 1 species